CAGAUACACAGACACAUAGGUACACACAUGCAGAUACACAGGCACACAGAUACAAACACUGACACACAUACAGAUACACAGGCACAUAGAUACACACUCAGAUACACAGACACACAUACAGAUUCAAACACUGAUUCACAUACAGAUACCCAGACGACACACAGAUACAUAUGGAUACACAGACGCACAAAUCACACACUGACACAUAUACAGAUACACACACAUACAGAUACACAAAUACAAACAUGCAGAUACACAGACACACUUUAUAUAGUGUUGGUAUAUAGUGUUGACAUUUGAAUGCUAAUGUGUAUUUGUGUGUAGAGAUGGCUUUUGAAUGCAGG